rnacentral:rRNA from 1 species
UACGUAGGGUGCGAGCGUUAAUCGGAAUUACUGGGCGUAAAGCGUGCGCAGGCGGUUGUGCAAGACAGAUGUGAAAUCCCCGGGCUCAACCUGGGAACUGCAUUUGUGACUGCACGGCUAGAGUACGGCAGAGGGGGAUGGAAUUCCGCGUGUAGCAGUGAAAUGCGUAGAUAUCAGGAGGAAUACCGAUGGCGAAGGCAGGUCUCUGGGCUGACACUGACGCUCAUGCACGAAAGCGUGGGGAGCAAACAGG